UUUUAUGUAUGUUACAUCAGAACUUUUGCCCGUGUGGACCGAUUUCGACAAAUUUUCUUUUAAUCGAAAGGUGAUGUGUGCCAAUUGGUCCCAUUUAAAUUUAUUUGAGAUCUAACAACUACUUUUCGAGUUAUAUCUAAGUACCUGGGUGACCGAGCCCAGCUCGGUAUUUUUAGUAAAUCGUGAAGGAUUAGUAGUAGAAGAGAG
rnacentral:misc_RNA from 1 species